rnacentral:lncRNA from 1 species
AUUUACUAAUACUCUGGGCUAAUUAGCAAAAUUCAUGGAAAAGUUAUUUACCAGCAAUUUUAUUGCUGGAAUCGAAUUGUAAGAUCCUAUAUAUUGUUAAUAUAGGUAUGCAAAGUCCGCAGAUAGUGUGCUACUUUUUUUAUAAACAAAAUGGCGCCGACAAAUCGUAUUUUUUUCAAUUAUUGCUCUAUAACUCCGAAGAUUU